UUCUGUCACCACUGUAUCCCCAAAUUAUUGUUUCUAUCUUUUUGUUGCAUAGCUACAGCUCACUUCAUCAUCCUAGGUAUGCCACAGCUUCCCCCCCACACACCUCUCCAUUUGAAACUCCAAAUAUAUGCCUAAAGUGUCCCCUCUUCUUUCUCCUUGUGCAGAUGUCCUGGCUCUCAACAAAGGCACCAGACAGGAUUGUUUUUUCUCUUGCAUAAGCACUUCCUGAUGUCCACUACACUCUUUUCUCAAUCUUCUCCAGUCUUUUGCAAACUGUGAUGUUCAGAUGUCCUAUAAGCCUGACUUCCUGAUGUCCACUACACUCCGUUCUCAACCUUCUCCGGUCUUCUGCAAACUGUGAAUGCCUCCUUGUGUUGGAUUCAUGAUGUUCACCAUACUGCACGGCCUACUUUUUUCUUCGCAAGCUAUGGAAAGAAACUCUGUUCAGCUCAUGAAACGGACUGUUAACAUUUUUUGACUUUUGUGGAGGAAGCAGGGUAUCCUGGUAAUUUUAUUUUGCAGCUACUAUGCUCUCGUAUAUAGGCCCAACAAAGAGAGAAAUCUGAACUGGCAAAGCUGCUCUAUAUGCAUCACAGGUCGAUAUUGUUGACCUUCACAAAUCAGUUUCAGUUGUACAUUUAGAUAAUUCCAAACAUUGAUGUCAACACACUGCUGUUCUUGUACCUAAUAAUAACUUUGAGUUAGUCAUGGCAAAAUGUGUGCGAAAUAUGUGAUGGUUGACUUCAGAGUAAGCACUCAUG